UACGUAGGGUGCGAGCGUUCAUCGGAAUUACUGGGCGUAAAGCGUGCGCAGGCGGUUUUUUAAGCCAGGUGUGAAAUCCCCGGGCUCAACCUGGGAAUGGCAUUUGGGACUGCAAGGCUGGAGUGCGGCAGAGGAGACUGGAAUUCCUGGUGUAGCAGUGAAAUGCGUAGAUAUCAGGAGGAAUACCGAUGGCGAAGGCAGGUCUCUGGGCUGACACUGACGCUCAUGCACGAAAGCGUGGGGAGCAAACAGG
rnacentral:rRNA from 1 species